rnacentral:tRNA from 1 species
GCCUGGGUGGCUCAGUCAGUUGAGCGUCCAACUUCGGUUCAGGUCAUGAUCUCGAGGUCCGUGGGUUCAAGCCCCACAUUAGGCU